rnacentral:lncRNA from 1 species
UGGGGUGGGGUGAGGUGGGAGGAAGGAUCUCCUCUCCCCCCGCCCCAGCAGCGGAAGCGUCUAAGGGGUUAAAAUGGCGCUGCCGAAUGCGGGUGAGGAGCGGAGCCAGGGUUCGGCCCCGACGGGCGGGAGAAGCGCGGUGGGGGUGUGGGAUCCCGGAAAAGGCUGGGAAAGCGGGGACCAAGGGGAGGUGUGAGGAGGCGAGAGUUGUUGCUCUUGGGGGCUAGGUCCAAGGCAGUUGCCGGCAGUAGUGGGGACGGGACCGGCAGCUGGAGAGCCAAGCCGUGGUUCGUGCACGUCUUGCCCCCCUGAGCAGGGUUAUGUCAGGAGAGCGCCCUGGCACCGAGCUCUGGCCCGCGGAGAAGAUACUCCCCCUCGGGCUCUCUCCGCGAGCGGGGCUGGGCGGGCGCCGAGGGGCGGGCGGUGCGCCGCGCGAGCCCAGGGCGCUGAGGUCGGCAAGUCGCCUUCGGAGCGGGCGGCGGCGCUUCUCCAGUCCACGAGGAAAAACUCAUCUGAAAAGGCACCGUCUCGAGCAAAACUAGAGGCGCGUUCCUCCAGAGGAAGGCUGAAGUUCAGGCCCCGCGUAGAACCCGGGCAGCCCCGGCUGGCCGACCUCGGGCUCGCUUCUUACAGGGAGGAGGUGAGCGUCCUUUCCGAACAGCCCUGGGCGGGGAGCGCGCGACUGCGGCGCGCUCGGCGCUGGGCCCCGCUGCGGGCCAGAGCGUUACCGCAGGAAACGCCUCGUCCCGUUUUCGGUCCCCCAGUCAGAACAUUUGGCUGAAUCUCGAAAUAACUUUUCUGAUAGUCUGGAAAAGAAACACGACUAAUAGACUCACCAUCAGCCUUGCGUCAGAGAACCAUUCAUUUCCCCUGGACUACAGUGAGAUUGGUUUUUUCAUUAGUUGCAGGAACUGAGUUUUUGAUGAUUUACCUGGCUGCUCAAGCUCCUGGGUGUAUUCUCCUCCCCUCCUUUCCCAUUUCAUCUGGUUGUCAACUCACCACCCCCCCUUUAGAAAAAAAAUAAACCAACUCCGAUACUCA